CGCUAAGGUGCUAAGGUGUAUAAAACACGAACUACAAUUUAGUUUACGAUGUUACAUUACUAGUUAAGUAAGUUAACUACAAUUUAUGUGUGCGAAAUGUCAGAGUUUCGACGUUGUCAUAGGUUUUCGUCUGCUCAACUCACAUCACUCAAAUUAAUUGUUUGUCAAAUUGCAGAGAUAGAUAAUUAGAUACAGAUUUUUCAACAUUUCAAGCAGUAUUCUUCAAAUUGCCUCAUAUUAAUAAGAUAUGUCUUUCAGAAAAGUGCCUGGAUUUUAUCGUAAAAAACAUCGAUAAAUUUUCUAUGAAAUCGGGCAGGGAACCACUAGAGGAAAUCGGUUCAGACAUUUGUAACAGUCCCUGUGAUCAAUUACCCUCUUUUCUGUUGGACAAGCUUGUAAUGAUGUUGAUGGAGACUUGUCGUCUAGACAAGAAAUGUCUAGAGUUUCUAAUAUCUACCAACCUUUGGACUUUGGAUCUAUCCCAGUGCCAACAACAAGAAAGGGCUCACCUGUUGUGCAUUGGGUCAAUCAGAAGUCAGAAUCUGAAAACACUAAAGCUUGGAUGUGGUCACAUAGAUCCAGAAUUUUUAAAUUGCAUUUCCAAAUUUAAAUGUUUGCAAUUUCUGGAAUUUUCCCAAUGCUCAGACGGGGACAAAAUAAUGAUAAUUCUUGGAGCUCAUUGCACAGAUUUGAGAGGAGUAAUUCGAGUGAACACUUCGACUGAACAAAGGCCUGCGUAUAACAGACGGUACUAUGCAGAGUGAGCAGGGCAACACCUUUCGUCGUAAAAGCCGCAUGCUGUGGAUAACAACCGGAGAACGCAGAAAGGUAACUCGGAUUGAAGAACGAGGAAAACAAAAGGUACACAUCACAACGUCCAUAAAUUAAAAAAAAAUUUAAAAAUUAUACAAAGGAGAUCGGAUAAACUUGAAAGAUUCAACUGUUUUUAGAUAAUGUCAGCAGAAGUUCGUGUGGGCUGGCCAACCCUGGGUUCCCGUGACAAUAGAGGUCAUAGGAAACGUUACCUAAAAGUGUCAGGUGGUGGUGUAGAGGUUGGGUGAGAAAGACACGUGUCUACACCAUUAUCAAGUAGGUAGAAUUGCCGCAAGGCUUGAGUUGAAAGUUGAGUCAGGGUGAGAAAAAAUCGUAUAAAAGGAGAGAGAAAAGGGCCACAGGAAUCAGUCGAGUGAGCCUCUCCGGCACGGCAACAUCUGAAUCCAAUUCGCAAUCACGGUUAAUUACGGCGUCGUCCUGCUGUUGGUUGUUGUAUCGUGUGGCUGUGUCGACGACUGGUGUACCGAUGUCUCCUGGGUAUGGCGGCUGCUAAACCGCAACGCCGCCGCCUUACUACGCAACAACAACAUAAGCAACGACCAUUUACUACACCAAGGCACCGGAGUACUUCACGACUAGGUAUGCCGCUCACCUAAGCUCCGAAGUAUUAUGCUGCCCCUAGCUACACCACUUAAACGCCGAGUACUACACCGAGGCUGGAUAGAGGAUGGGUGAGAACGCCACGCGUUACAUCAUUAUCAAGCAGGCUACAAUAACCUCAACUACUGCGUCGCGCUGCUGUUGGGUGUUGUAUCGUUGAUGGCUGGGUCGACCACGAGUGUACCGAUGUCUCCUGGGUGUGGCGGAUUCCAAACAACAACGACGAAGGAAUACUACACUUCGACGACGCCUUACUACACAACAACAACGUAUGCAAUACCUUACUACACCGAGACUCCGAAGUACUACACCACCAAUGCUCCAAAGUAUUGCUUAACUUAUGCUGCCCCGAGCUACUACACCGAAGACCCGAAGUAUGACUGCCCCGAGCUACACCGCCAAAGCGCCUGAGUGCUACACUACUACGUAUGCCGCUCCAGUUUAGUAAACCGAAGGCUCUUAAGUACUACACCGAGGUUUCCAAGUACUACUCUGCUCCCAGCUACUACACCGAGGUUCCAGCUUACAACAUCGAGGCUCCCAAGUACUUUUUUCUCCCAGCUACUAUACCAAGGCUCCCGUUCAUUACACCACCGAAGCGGAUGAACACUACACCGAAGCGCCCAAGUACUACUCUGCCCCGAGCUACACAACCAUAACUGAUGCUGUUAAGUAAAUUAUCGUGACCCGACUUACUACACAGUAGCUCCAGUUUACUACACCACAACCUACGCUACACCUUUACUACACUGGAGCUGAAAAGUACUACACCGAGAGGUCCUAAUACUUCACCACCACAUAUGCUGCCUUAGUUUACUAUACCGAGGAAUUCAAGUGUUACUCUGCUCCCAGCUACCACCAAACCGAGGUUCCUGUUUACUACACCACCAAGGCACCCCAGUUUUGUACUGCUCCUUACGCUGCUCCGACCUACUACACAGAAUCUCCUAAGUAUAACUCUACCCCGAGUUACUACUCCAGUAAGGCACCUGAUGCUACACCACAACCUACGCUUAUCCAGCUUAUUACAAGGAAGUUUUAUUAGGUUGUGUUUAGAUUUGUUGGUCACAUAGUCAGUUUAGUUUUGGUUUGGUCACUGGGAUUUGAUUGUUUAUCUUUGACUGAGAAAAUAAACUUUUGAAUGCGAA